rnacentral:rRNA from 1 species
GAGUUUGAUCGUGGCUCAGAUUGAACGCUGGCGGCAGGCCUAACACAUGCAAGUCGAGCGGUAGAGAGAAGCUUGCUUCUCUUGAGAGCGGCGGACGGGUGAGUAAUGCCUAGGAAUCUGCCUGGUAGUGGGGGAUAACGCUCGGAAACGGACGCUAAUACCGCAUACGUCCUACGGGAGAAAGCAGGGGACCUUCGGGCCUUGCGCUAUCAGAUGAGCCUAGGUCGGAUUAGCUAGUUGGUGAGGUAAUGGCUCACCAAGGCGACGAUCCGUAACUGGUCUGAGAGGAUGAUCAGUCACACUGGAACUGGGACACGGUCCAGACUCCUACGGGAGGCAGCAGUGGGGAAUAUUGGACAAUGGGCGAAAGCCUGAUCCAGCCAUGCCGCGUGUGUGAAGAAGGUCUUCGGAUUGUAAAGCACUUUAAGUUGGGAGGAAGGGCAGUAAAUUAAUACUUUAGCUGUUUUGACGUUUACCGACAGAAUAAGCACCGGCUAACUCUGUGCCAGCAGCCG